rnacentral:tRNA from 1 species
AUGGUUGUAGUUUAGUGGCAAGAAUUCCACGUUGUGGCUGUGGAAACCUGGGCUCGAAUCCCAGCAGCCACA